rnacentral:lncRNA from 1 species
AACCUUCUCCUGACUUCUUCUCUUUCCCCCCUUUUCUUUCUUCUUCCUUCUUCUUUCUCCUGACUUCUUCUCCUUCCCCCCCUUUCUUUCUUCUUCUUUCUUCUCUCGAAGCUUCCUCUCCUUCCUUUUUUUUUUCAUCUUCUCCCCUUCCCCUCUUCUCCCAUGACCAUGGAGGGGGAGGUGCGACCCCAUGUCGAGGCUCGGGAGGGGGCAGCCUGAGGCCGGUGGCACCGGCUGCGCCUGCGGCUAGCCGGCAAUGCCCACGGUGGGGACCAGCGGCGUCGGCGACGCUUGCGGCCGCACACGGGUAAGUCCCCUCUUCCCUCUCUUCUUCUUUCGUUCUUUUUUUCUUUUUUUUAUCAAAUGGCACAACAAGGAGGUGAAGGUUGAGAACCCUUACCUUAGCCCCGGCGAAGAUCCGAUGGCUUUCUUCCUCUCCGGCGGCUCUCUUCCUCUCCGGCGGCAAUGGAACCACCCGGAUCAAAGAAGACCGGCUUCAACGGCUCCCUCUCUCUCUCUCUCUCUCUCUC